UUGAAGACAUUAAUCUAUCCAAAAUUAACGAGUUGUUGACAGGCGAAUUCACCGGAAUUGACAUCUGUCGUGGUGUUGGCCUGUAACGAAAUUUAAAAAAUCAAAACAAGCAAACCGACCAAAACAGAUGGAAUUAAACGAAUGUGUCUGUGAUAAAGGGGGGCAAAUGUUAACCAGAUUUCUUAAAAUAAGAAAUUGGCAAGGAGGAUCGCCUGACAAGAGCGUCAUGAGAAUGGUGACUUUCAGGAUAGAAUUAUCCUGGCGGUGUCGCUUGUUGUAACCCUCCAACAAACAACGGCGCAAUGUGGAACCGGAACCGGCAAAUUCGGCCAAAUUCAAGUCGGCAAAUCCGAGUUUCUGGCAAGGCUCCAGGACGCCUGUGGAUGCAUUGGCCGACAUUUUGCAAACAAACGGGAAUUUCACCGCCCAACGCACAGUGUGCUGCUGCACUUC